rnacentral:rRNA from 1 species
UACGGGGGGAGCAAGCGUUGUUCGGAUUUACUGGGCGUAAAGGGCGCGUAGGCGGCCAGCACAAGUCAGUUGUGAAAUCUCCGGGCUUAACUCGGAAAGGUCAACUGAUACUGUGCGGCUAGAGUGCAGAAGGGGCAACUGGAAUUCUUGGUGUAGCGGUGAAAUGCGUAGAUAUCAAGAGGAACACCUGCGGCGAAGGCGGGUUGCUGGGCCGACACUGACGCUGAAGCGCGAAAGCCAGGGGAGCAAACAGG